GACGAACGCUGGCGGCGUGCUUAACACAUGCAAGUCGAACGGAAAGGCCCUGCUUUUGUGGGGUGCUCGAGUGGCGAACGUGUGAGUAACACGUGAGUCACCUGCCCUUGACUUUGGGAUAUCUUCAGGAAACUGCUGCUAAUACCGGAUAGGAGCUCCUGCUGCAUGGUGGGGGUUGGACCGUUUCGGCGGUUGGGGAUGGACUCGCGGCUUAUCAGCUUGUUGGUGGGGUAGUGGCUUACCCAGGCUUUGACGGGUAGCCGGCCUGGGAGGGUGACCGGCGACAUUGGGACUGAGGUACGGCGCAGACUCCUACGGGAGGCAGCAGGGGGGAAUAUGGCACAAUGGGCGGAAGCCUGAUGCAGAAACGCCGCGUGCGGGAAGACGGCCUUCGGGGUGUAAACCGCUUUAGCCUGUGACGAAGCGGGAGUGACGGUAAUGGGUAAAGAAGCACCGGCUAACUACGUG
rnacentral:rRNA from 1 species